UCUCCUGGAAAACGGGUGGUAAUGCCGGAUGCUCCGACUCCUCGCAUGGGGUGUCGGGAAAGAUUUCAUCGGUAUGGGAUGGGGUCGCGUCCUAUCAGGUAGUCGGCGGGGUAACGGCCCACCGAGCCUACGACGGGUAGCCGGCCUGAGAGGGCGACCGGCCACAUUGGGACUGAGAUACGGCCCAGACUCCUACGGGAGGCAGCAGUGGGGAAUAUUGCACAAUGGGCGCAAGCCUGAUGCAGCGACGCCGCGUGCGGGAUGACGGCCUUCGGGUUGUAAACCGCUUUUGAUCGGGAGCAAGCCUUCGGGUGAGUGUACCUUUCGAAUAAGCACCGGCUAACUACGUGCCAGCAGCCGCGGUAAUACGUAGGGUGCAAGCGUUAUCCGGAAUUAUUGGGCGUAAAGGGCUCGUAGGCGGUUCGUCGCGUCCGGUGUGAAAGUCCAUCGCUUAACGGUGGAUCUGCGCCGGGUACGGGCGGGCUGGAGUGCGGUAGGGGAGACUGGAAUUCCCGGUGUAACGGUGGAAUGUGUAGAUAUCGGGAAAGAAC
rnacentral:rRNA from 1 species